rnacentral:rRNA from 1 species
UAGUGGCGAGCGAACGCGGAAGAGGCCAAACCGAGAGUAGUAAUACUUUCGGGGUUCGGACAGAAAACGGUAUUGUAAAGGUUUAGUGGAAUGGAAUGGGAAGUCCAACCGAAGAAGGUGAGAGUCCUGUACACGAAAAGCCUGAACAGCCAUCUGUAUCCAGAGUACCGCCGGACACGUGAAACCCGGUGGGAAUACGGGGGGACCAUCCUCCAAGCCUAAAUACUACUCGGUGACCGAUAGUGAAGAAGUACUGUGAAGGAAAGGUGAAAAGUACCCCUGACGGGGAGUGAAAAAGAACCUGAAACCUUGUGUUUACAAGCACCGAAAGCUCAUCAAAGAGCGAUCGGGUACCUUUUGUAGAAUGGUCCGGCGAGUGAAUGUAACCGGCGAGGUUAAGCACUUAAGGUGUGAAGCCGCAGCGAGAGCAAGUCUGAAUAGGGCGUAUGAAGUCGGUUGUAUUCGACCCGAAACCGGGUGACCUACCCAUGGUCAGGUUGAAGUAAAGGUAAAACUUUAUGGAGGACCGAACCGACUCCCGUUGAAAUGGUAGCGGAUGAACUGUGGGUAGCGGAGAAAUUCCAAUCGAACCCGGAGAUAGCUGGUUCUCUCCGAAAUAGCUUUAGGGCUAGCCUUGAAAUAGAUUACCGGAGGUAAAGCACUGAAUUGGCUAGGGGCCGAGAGGUUACUGAACCUUAUCAAACUAAGAAUGCCGGAUAAUCGUUUUUCAGGAGUCAGACAGUGGGAGAUAAGUUUCAUUGUCAAAAGGGAAACAGCCCAGACCCACAGCUAAGGUCCCCAAGUAUAGUUAAGUGGAAAAGGAUGUGGAAUUGCACAGACAACCAGGAUGUUGGCUUAGAAGCAGCCACUCAUUAAAAGAGUGCGUAAUAGCUCACUGGUCGAGUGACUCUGCGCCGAAAAUUUAACGGGGCUAAACUAUACACCGAAGCUUGGGAUACAUCUAAUGUAUGGUAGGAGAGCGUUCUGUAUGGGGAGAAGUCGUAGCGAAAGCGGCGGUGGACUGUACAGAAGUGAGAAUGCCGGAAUAAGUAGCGAGAAUUAAGUGAGAAUCUUAAUGGCCGAAAGUCUAAGGUUUUUGGAGGAAGGUUCGUCCGCUCCAAGUAAGUCGGGAGCUAAGGUCAGGCCGAAAGGCGUAGCCGAUGCACAUACGGUUGAUAUUCCGUAACCAUCUGUAAUUUAAGCAAAGGGACACUUCAAAAGGGUGUGACCCGGGCGUUGGUUGACCCGGGCGUAAGGGACCGAAAUUAGAGUAGGGAAGCACACUUAGCUGAAGGCGAGAAAAGCUUUGCGUAUAGAAACAGAUGCCCGUACCGCAAACCGACACAGGUGGACAGGAAGAGAAUUCUAAGGCCAGCGGGAGAAGGGUAGUUAAGGAACUCGGCAAAUUGACUCCGUAACUUCGGAAUAAGGAGUGCUCGAAAGAGCCGCAGAGAAUAGGCCCAGGCGACUGUUUAGCAAAAACACAGGUCUCUGCCAAAUCGAAAGAUGAAGUAUAGGGGCUGACACCUGCCCGGUGCCGGAAGGUUAAGAGGAGGAGUGAGAGCUCCGAAUUGAAGCCCCGGUAAACGGCGGCCGUAACUAUAACGGUCCUAAGGUAGCGAAAUUCCUUGUCGGGUAAGUUC